AGAACGAACGCUGGCGGCAGGCUUAACACAUGCAAGUCGAACGCAUCGCAAGAUGAGUGGCAGACGGGUGAGUAACGCGUGGGAAUCUACCCAAUUCUUCGGAACAACUGAGGGAAACUUCAGCUAAUACCGGAUGUGCCCUUCGGGGGAAAGAUUUAUCGGAAUUGGAUGAGCCCGCGUUGGAUUAGCUAGUUGGUGGGGUAAAGGCCUACCAAGGCGACGAUCCAUAGCUGGUCUGAGAGGACGAUCAGCCACACUGGGACUGAGACACGGCCCAGACUCCUACGGGAGGCAGCAGUGGGGAAUAUUGGACAAUGGGCGCAAGCCUGAUCCAGCCAUGCCGCGUGUGUGAUGAAGGUCUUAGGAUUGUAAAGCACUUUCACCGGAGAAGAUAAUGACGGUAUCCGGAGAAGAAGCUCCGGCUAACUUCGUGCCAGCAGCCGC
rnacentral:rRNA from 1 species